rnacentral:rRNA from 1 species
AUACGGAGGAUCCGAGCGUUAUCCGGAUUUAUUGGGUUUAAAGGGUGCGCAGGCGGCCAAUUAAGUCAGCGGUUAAAUCGUGGGGCUCAACCCCAUUCUGCCGUUGAUACUGGGUGGCUUGAUUGCGGUCGAGGUUGGCGGAAUUCGUUGUGUAGCGGUGAAAUGCAUAGAUAUGACGAAGAACACCGAUUGCGUAGGCAGCUGACCAGACCGCAAAUGACGCGCAUGCACGAAAGUGCGGGGAUCGAACAGGAUUAGAUACCCUGGUAGUCCGCACAGUAAACGAUGAAUACUUGUUUUCGGCGAUAUAAUGUCGGAGGCAAAGCGAAAGCGAUAAGUAUUCCACCUGGGGAGUACGCCGGCAACGGUGAAACUUAAAGGAAUUGACGGGG